rnacentral:ncRNA from 1 species
UCCGGCUAACUCCGUGCCAGCAGCCGCGGUAAUACGGAGGGAGCUAGCGUUGUUCGGAAUUACUGGGCGUAAAGCGCACGUAGGCGGCUUUUCAAGUCAGGGGUGAAAUCCCGGGGCUCAACCCCGGAACUGCCCUUGAAACUGGAUGGCUAGAAUACUGGAGAGGUGAGUGGAAUUCCGAGUGUAGAGGUGAAAUUCGUAGAUAUUCGGAAGAACACCAGUGGCGAAGGCGACUCACUGGACAGUUAUUGACGCUGAGGUGCGAAAGCGUGGGGAGCAAACAGGAU